AUACAGAUACAAUUUUUUUUAAAUAAAUUUGUUUUACUGAGCUUUUAUUUACAAUGCGUUCACAAUUAAUCUAAAAUUGUAUAACUAGAUUUUCUGUUGAUUGCCUGAUUUAGUUUUAGUGAUAGAAAGUUGCUUAAGGAACUCAUAGAAUAAUAGCUAACAUUGAGAAAAAUCAUUAAACGAAAGGAUUUAGAUGAACAUAUUUGGAAUAAUUAAAUUUUUAUUGCAAGUACAGAAGAGCUUCUUCCAGUUAAAAAAUCAUCCAGUUAGGAGGUUAAGAAAUGUAUUUAGAUUUUUCUUCCUUACACCCUUUUCACAUAACUGAAAUUAGUGAGACUACUUAUAGUUAAGUAUCCCUCAAAACAAAUCUACAUUGCAUUCUUCAAAUAUUUAUUAACAGAAGAUUCCGGUCCUGGUCCAGGACUGCUACCGGAAGAAGAAUCUUCACCCCGUCUUUGAAGAUCCAGGACCUCUUCCGCUAUUUGCCGUCCG